AUGUGUCUCCAUUUCUCUGGAAAAAAAUUCCCAAGGGGACAACUGCUGAGUCAAAUGGAAGCCUGCCUAGACUGCCUUCAUCUUUUCUCAUUGGCCAGCUCAGAGAUAAUUCUUGGAAGAUUUUCAUGUAGCAGGUGGUUUUAUCCUGUUCAAGGAAUUUUUAUAGUGAGUGCGAAGAACUCUGAAAAGCAGCUUCCAAAUGGGAAUUGUGGGUCCAAAUGGGAGAAAAAAAAUUGUCUCUUUCUCCUGAAGCCGGUCUCAUAUGAAGCCAGGAAGAGAGGCAGCCACAGCAGAUGUAUUUUAGAAUGAAGACUCAAAAGCAAAGGCAGGUUCUAAGGGCGCCUCUUCAAACCAAGAGAAGGACAUCAAGGAUUUAGAGUUGAGAAAGGAGUCAAGGCAGAACUCCCAAGUAUCUGAGGCUUGAAGGGCAGCUGAUGUGGCUAAGAGCAGAGGCACGCCUUGCACUAAUGUGUAAAUAAAAGUACCGCACAAUAAGUAACAUUAGGAAAGUCUAGGCAAGCCUUAUAACAAGUGGCCCAGGAAAUAUGCCCUGUACACACUUAACACUAGUCAUAUCAUCCAAAAGAAGGUCUUAAAUAAGGGACUGGAAGCAUCAGUGUAGACCAUAUGUGCCUACUUUUCAAACUUUAUUCAUCUCGGAAGACUGCCUGAUGGCUGAAAAUAAGGAUAUUCAUGGGAAUGAAGGAGGAUGAUUUCUAUAUUCUUCUUUUUAAUUGCUGUAUCACUUUAUAGUGGCAAGCCUGUUAAAGAUCCAGAGGCAAUCAGAUAAAAUGAAAGGCUUGGCAGAAAAUUGGAAGAACAAUGUAGGAAGAAAGGAAUCUGUGUUUACAUUGAGAAUACUCAUUUGAGUAAUAAAGAUUCACAAAAAUGAGAGAGAAUUUUAGUAUUGUUUUUACUCUUUCUUUAAAAAAAAAUGCCUUUGAGAUUUUUUUCAAGGCUAGGCUUGAAUCUGUAGAUUACUUUGGGUAAUCUGGACAUUUUAACCAGUAUUCUGUCUUCCAAUCCAUGAACAUGUGAUAUCUUUCCAUCUAUUUAUGUCUCCUUAAAUUUCCUUCAUCAGUGUUUCAUAGUUUCUAGUGUACAGAUACUUAAUCUCCUUGGUCAAGUUUAUUCCUAAGUAUUUUAUUCCUUUUGAUAUUAUUGUGA
rnacentral:lncRNA from 1 species